rnacentral:rRNA from 1 species
GACGAACGCUGGCGGCGUGCCUAAUACAUGCAAGUCGAGCGGAGUUAGAGAAGCUUGCUUCUCUAACUUAGCGGCGGACGGGUGAGUAACACGUGGGCAAUCUGCCCGUAAGACUGGGAUAACUCCGGGACACCGGGGCUAAUACCGGAUAAUCCUGACUCUCUCCUGAGAGUCAGUUGAAAGAUGGUUUCGGCUAUCACUUACGGAUGAGCCCGCGGCGCAUUAGCUAGUUGGUAGGGUAAUGGCCUACCAAGGCGACGAUGCGUAGCCGACCUGAGAGGGUGAUCGGCCACACUGGGACUGAGACACGGCCCAGACUCCUACGGGAGGCAGCAGUAGGGAAUCUUCCGCAAUGGACGAAAGUCUGACGGAGCAACGCCGCGUGAGUGAAGAAGGUUUUCGGAUCGUAAAACUCUGUUGUUAGGGAAGAAUACGUACGAGAGUAACUGCUCGUACCUUGACGGUACCUAACCAGAAAGCCACGGCUAACUACGUG